rnacentral:rRNA from 1 species
UACGUAGGGGGCAAGCGUUGUCCGGAUUCAUUGGGCGUAAAGAGCGUGUAGGCGGCCAGGUAGGUCGGUUGUGAAAACUGGAGGCUUAACCUCCAGACGUCGACGGAAACCGCGUGGCUAGAGUCCGGAAGAGGAGAGUGGAAUUCCUGGUGUAGCGGUGAAAUGCGCAGAUAUCAGGAAGAACACCAAUGGCGAAGGCGGUUCUCUGGGCAUUCCCUGACGCUGAGGAGCGAAAGUGUGGGGAGCGAACAGGG